ACGGGUGAGUAAUGUCUGGGAAACUGCCUGAUGGAGGGGGAUAACUACUGGAACGGUAGCUAAUACCGCAUAACGUCGCAAGACCAAAGAGGGGGACCUUCGGGCCUCUUGCCAUCAGAUGUGCCCAGAUGGGAUUAGCUAGUAGGUGGGGUAACGGCUCACCUAGGCGACGAUCCCUAGCUGGUCUGAGAGGAUGACCAGCCACACUGGAACUGAGACACGGUCCAGACUCCUACGGGAGGCAGCAUG
rnacentral:rRNA from 1 species